UGGGUUGGCCGAGUGGUUAGGCAGCGGCCUGCAAAGCCGUAUACACCGGUUCGAAUCCGGUACC
rnacentral:tRNA from 1 species